CAUCAUGGAGUCUGGGAGCCUUAGACACCCAUUCAACUUCUCUGCAUUUUAAUCUCCUCUCUAAAAUCAGGAGAAUGGACUGUAUGUUUGAAUAGGUGCAGCUCUGCGCCACAAGAAGGGAUCGAGGAGAAGAUCGCGGAGAAGCGGGAGCACAGAUGCGGCCCCGGGAUUAAGAGCUUAGGCUCUGAAGGUAAGAUGUGACUUCACAGUGUCUCUAGCUUCCUACGUGGAAAUCCCAAGAAGAGCCAGGCCAGAAAACACGAGAUCGAGCAACUGGAACCUCUGUGAGAGCAGAGACCACGUCUGGUGAUUUGUCCCCUGUUUCCACAAUGCUUCGCGUCAUGCCUGGCACAGAGUCUAUGCUCCAAACUUUUUUGAAAAAUCUGAUGUUGAUGACAAUGAGAGCCCAGUUAGUAGGAAGAUGAGACGAACGUGCGUGGCAGGCAAGUUGACUCUCAGUUUCUCUCACCAAUUUGCAAUGAUCUAUUUUCAGAUCUGUCUCCCUACUCAACACUGAGCCCCUCCACAGAGGACCUGUUUUUGUUUGUUUGCUUAAUCUUUGUAUUCCUUCCCAGCAAUCACUCUGCUGACCCUAAGUGAAAGGUGUGCCCUGUGAUGUUUAUGUGAAUGACCCAAGAAACAAGGCAGAAAACUUUGCUAUUGAAAUUACCUGGGAAAUACAUCUAUCUGAUUUUCUUGGGGAAAGGGUAGAGCACGCUGGGGAAAGCAAGGUUUUGACAAACCUGUGUUUCAGGCCUUGUUCUCCUCUUUUCUAGUUGUGGGAAUUUGAGCGAAUCACUGAAAUUUUCCAAGCCUACAUUUUCUCAUAAUUAAAAGGAAUGAACAAUAGGCAGUUAAAAAAGGAAUCGGAUAUAAUUUUACACAUAGUACGUGCUCGAUAAAUCUUUAUUGUCUGGAUGUAUGUUCUCAUGGAUGGAAAAAGAAAUAUUAAAAUACUUUUUAAAAACCACCUUCUGUCUUUGAAAACAUAAUGCAGAAAGCACUACAUUUUGAUUAGUGUAAGGUCCUGUAAAUCAAGUUCCAGUGAAUCUAGAUUUUUUCCAAACACACCUCAAGAUUCCAGGAGAAUAAAUGCUGUCACUCCAACCUACCAAUA